AAAGACAGAAAGGCCCAGGAUGAGUUAGAGUCCUUCCAAGGUCAACACCCCUCAGCUGGGUGCAACUUCCUAAGUCUGCCUCACUAUCGUGGGGGUGGGGGUGGGGGUGGGGGUGGGGGUGGGGGGGUAAUGGCUCCAACUAUGAGGCUGUCCGAGGCUGUGUUCCCAGGGGACAUUAGACCCUUUGUGAUCUGAUCACUUUCCAAAGCCCUAUUCCUGAGCCCUGCGGUAGUGGGGGUUGAGUCUUCAAUACUUGGGAUUCAUUUGUAACUAGAGGCAGGCUGGGUUUUAUUUGUGGGGGGAGGAUUCACCCCCAAAGUCUACUCACCCCUGGGUAGACUCACAAACAGCAGAUCAAGUAUUUAACGAUUCCAAAGUCCUACUUGGUGAACUAAUGCGGUUACUGAGCUGACUUGCAGAGCCUGGGAUACUUACAGAAUCCUGGGUGAUCCCCACCCCUCACUCACCAAACAACCAAGCCACUAGGAAGUCUCGCCCCAGCCCUGGUGAUGGUUCCCUCCCAUAGAUGCCACCAUCACCCCUCCACUAAGCAAACCUCGCACUCUAGGAGCUGGUCCUGUUGUGUGCUGCUGUUACUGUUCCUAAAGUACUCUGAAACAGUCUAGACUUAGUGUCUCUUUCUUCCACAGAUGCUGCCCCUGCCCCUACUACACUGAACUAAGCUCAUAACACUUCCUCCACACUCGCUACUGCUAGGUCACGUUCAAAUUUCCCUAAUUGUCUCAAAAAUGCCCUUUCAUUUCCAGCCUGUUGGCACCGGGGUCCACGAGUUGCAGUCAGUAAUUACAGCUCUGAAAUUUCUUUUAAUCUAGAGUAGUCUUUCCCUUUCUUUAAUUUCUCCUGAUAAUGAUAGGUUGAAAAACUGGAUCAGUCAUUCUGUGGACUGCCCUAAUUUCUGGUUUUGUCUUUCACCUUCCUCAUGGUACCUCUUAACCUGCUUCUCUCUCCUCUCUCUUGCUGCACAACUCUCAGGGUCGAUUAGAUGAGAGAUCUCUUGGGAAAUGGAAGCCAUUUUGUAGUGUAACACCGUCUUUGUACCAGACAUUUUUUUUUUUCUGAGACAGGGUUUCUCUGUGUAGCCCUGGCUGUCCUGGAACUCACUCUUUAGACCAGGCUGGCCUCAAACUCAAAUCUGCCUGCCUCUGCCUCCACCUCCCAAGUGCUAGGAUUAAGGACAUGUGUCACCACUGCCUGGCCGGGGAACCUUUUUGGAUCUUGACAGUGUAGGUUUUUUUUUUUCUUUUCUUUUUUUUUUUUUUAAGGCUUAUUAUUAUUUUAUGUGUGAGAGAGUUUGCUUAUACAUAUAUAUGUUCACAAUCUAUGUGCCUGGAGCGAGAGGAGGGCAGAAGGUGUCAGAUUUUCAGGAACUGGAGUUAAAGGGAGUUGUGGGACACUAUAAGGGCUCUUGGAACAGAACCUGGGUCCUUUUCAGUAGCACAAGUGCUUUAAACAGACGGGGUAGGGUUUUUGUUUUUUUUUUUUUUUUCUUGUUUCUAUGGUUUGUUUGAGUCGCGAUCUUGCUACAUUGUCGUCUUAGUUUCUUUUCAUGUUUUUAUGAUAAAAUGCCGUGACAAAAUUACUUGAAGGGAAAAAAAGGUUUAUUCUGGCUCACACUGCAGGGGUACAGCUCAUGGUGGGAAGUGAAGAAUGCAGAGAUCUAAGGAUGCAUGCAGAUGCCCAUCAGGCUUUCUCUAUACCAUCCAGGCUCCCAACCAAGGAUGAUGCAUCCCACAGUGGAUAGAUCCCACUUCAGUUACCUUAGUCAAGAUAAUUCUCCACCAGCCAGGGCAGAAGCCCACUCCCAGGUCAUCCUAGGCCGCAUCAGAGGGAUAGUGAAGGUUGAUCACCAUGGAGAGGCUGUUAGAGGGAGGGCAGAGCAGAUGCUUGGGUGGGUACAGACACUGGCUCCGAAAACCUGGCAACCUGAGUUCAAUCCCCAGACCCUACAUAAAGGUGGAAGGAAGGAACCAACUCUGGAAAGCUGUCCCCUGACCUCCACAAGUGUGUCAUGGUAUGCACCAACCCCCUUGUAAUAACAAAAUUAAGCAUUUUAAAGGAAAAAAAGAAAAUUUGACCAAGGAAGUAAGGGAUGGAAAAUAGACACAGGGGAGCAGGAAGAGCUUAAAGAAAGGCUCAUAAAUAAAAGACAAACAAACAGACCCUCCCCAGGGUCUCCCAAUAGACCUAACCCUGUCUACACUGACUUGGGCCCAAUGGAACUAAUUCUAGAUUUCCAGCUCCAGACUUCAGAAGAAGAAAAUAACUUUGUGGUCUUUUUCUUUCUUUCUUUCUUUCUUUCUUUCUUUCUUUCUUUCUUUCUUUCUUUCUUUUCUUUUCUUUUUUAAGGCAGGGUCUCUCUAUGUAGCCCUGGCUAUCCUCAACUCACUUUUUAGACCAGGCUGGCCUCAAAUUCACAGAGAUCUGGCUACCUCUGUCCCCCAUACCAGAUUUGUGGUAUUUUAAGCCAUUAAGCAGUAAAUACAAUAAGAAACUAAUGUUAAGUUUCUUGAUAACAUGAAACCUGA
rnacentral:lncRNA from 1 species